GACGAACGCUGGCGGCGUGCUUAACACAUGCACGUCGAACGGAAAGGCCCUGCUUUUGGGGGGUGCUCGAGUGGCGAACGGGUGAGUAACACGUGAGUAACCUGCCUUUGACUUUGGGAUAACUUCAGGAAACUGGGGCUAAUACCGGAUAGGAGCUCCUGCUGCAUGGUGGGGGUUGGAAAGUUUCGGCGGUUGGGGAUGGACUCCCGGCUUAUCAGCUUGUUGGUGGGGUAGUGGAUUACCAAGGCUUUGACGGGUAGCCGGCCUGAGAGGGUGACCGGCCACAUUGGGACUGAGAUACGGCCCAGACUCCUACGGGAGGCAGCAGUGGGGAAUCUUGCACAAUGGGCGGAAGCCUGAUGCAGCAACGCCGCGUGCGGGAUGACGGCCUUCGGGUUGUAAACCGCUUUCGCCUGUGACGAAGCGUGAGUGACGGUAAUGGGUAAAGAAGCACCGGCUAACUACGUG
rnacentral:rRNA from 1 species